GGAAGUAAAGUGUAACAGGGUCUCCGUUGGUGAACCAGCGGAGGGAUCAUUACAGAGUUAUCAAAACUCCCAAACCCAUGUGAACAUACCUCGCGUUGCCUCGGCAGGUGGCGUCUCGCCCCGUAAGAACCUACCCUGUAGGACCUUACCCGGUAGACGACCCUGCCGACGGCCCCCGAAACUCUGUUUUAUAGCAUUAAACUUCUGAAAAUAUAACUAAAUAAGUUAAAACUUUCAACAACGGAUCUCUUGGUUCUG
rnacentral:misc_RNA from 1 species